AAUGCUGAAUUACGUUCUGCCUGUCAGUGAAUGGCUCGGUUCGAGUGCCGACGAAGGGCGUGCCAAGCUGCGAUAAGCUCCGGGAAGACGCAAGGAUUCUAUGAUCCGGAGAUACCCUAAUGGGACAUCCUGUGACAUUAAGUCACGAUCGGUAACGAUCGGUAACCCCCCGAAUUGAAACAUCUCAGUAGGGGGAGGAAGAGAAAUCAAACGAGAUGUCGUUAGUAAAGGCGAUCGAAAACGACAGAGUUCAAACUGAAUCCCGGCAACGGGAGAUGUGGUGUUGAUAGGCCCACUGUUUUUGUGAGAUAUGAAGUGGAAUUUGUUCUGAAAAGUCAAACCAAAGAGGGUGACAGUCCCCUACACGUAAAUCUCUCACAUAUAUGUGGUGUCCUGAGUAGCGCGGGUUGGAAUUCUCGCGUGAAUCCGGGGGUCAUCAACCUCCAAAACUAAAUACUCCUCGAAACCGAUAGUGUAAUAGUAGCGUGAGCGAAAGCUGAAAAGUAACCCUGAAAAGGUGGUUAAAAGUGCCUGAAACUGGCAGGCGAUGGUGUGUUAUGGCGUUAAAGGAUCUUUACCGCGAAAGAAUCAGCCGCGAGGCUGUAGUAUGGGCGGUAUUGCCAGCGUCAUAACUUACGUUUUGAAGAACGGGCCAGAGAGUUUAUUCUGUCGGCGAGGUUAACCCUGCGGGAAGCCGAAGCGAAAGCGACAGGUUCGUAGUGCCUUACGGCACAUGGGACGACGUAUUAAAAGUGCGUGAAGUCGGCAGGAUAAGACCCGAAGCCUAGUGAUCUAUGCGUGGGCAGGCUGAAGCGUGACGAAAGUUGCGUGGAGGGCCGAAGCGGUAUUGAUAUGCAAAUCAUUCGUGUGACCUGCGUAUAGGGGUGAAAGGCCAAUCGAACUAGGCAUCCGCUGGUUCCUCUCGAAACAUGCCGUAGCAUGACCUGGAUGGAGAUAGACGGUGAGGUAGAGCACUGAUUGUGGGAGUUGGGGAAGAAAUUCCUUACCCUGCUGUCAAACUCCGAAUUCCCCGUCAUCUGAGAAGUCCGGAAGUCCGCACUGCGGGGUAAGCUUGUAGUGCGUAAGGGAGACAACCCAGACCGUGGUUAAUGUCCCUGAGUGUAGGUUAAGUGUAAACACUAAAUGAGGUCCCAGGCCAAAAACAACUGGAAGGUGAGCUUAGAAGCAGCUACCCUUUAAAAAGUGCGUAACAGCUUACCAGUCUAGGUUUGGGGCGCAGAAAAUGGACGGGGCUCAAACCUACCACAGAUACCACGGACCAUAUAUUAAUAUGAUGGCGUAGAGAGGCGUUCUGCAUGGGCAGAAGCAGGGGUGUAAGCUCCUGUGGACCGUGCAGAAAUGAGAAUUCUGGCAUUAGUAGAAGCAUUAGAUGGGUGAGAAUCCCAUCCGCCGGAGGGGCUAGGUUUCCUCGACAAUGUUCGUCAGUCGAGGGUUAGUCGGUCCUAAGGUGUAUCGUAACUCGAGUACGUCGAAAGGGAAACAGGUUAAUAUUCCUGUACCAUCGGCCAAUAAUCCUGACGCUUCGGGAUAUGCUGUGCAGGGCCGUCGCCCUGUUUAAUCGUAUAAGCUCUUGGAGAACCGCAAUGGUGAGAAUUGAGUGAAAGCGUGAUGAAGUAAUACAGCAAAUUCCUGGAGCCCGUGAAAAGGGGGCCAGAUGACCGUACCGAGAUCUGACACAGGUGCCCCUGGCUGAGAAGGCCAAGGCGUAUCGGUUUAAUUGUGUUUAGGGAACUCGGCAAAAUAGCUCCGUAACUUUGGAAUAAGGAGUGCCUGCUUGGAGAUCAAGCAGGUCGCAGUGACUCGGGGACUCCGACUGUCUAAUAACAACAUAGCAGACUGCAACUCGGAAACGACUAGUAUAGUCUGUGAUUCCUGCCCAGUGCGGGCAUCUGAAAACCGGGUACAACCGGACGAAGGACCCGUAAACGGCGGGGGUAACUAUGACCCUCUUAAGGUAGCGUAGUACCUUGUCGCUUAAUUGGCGACUUGCAUGAAUGGAUUAACGAGAGUCCUACUGUCCCAAACACAAGUCCGUUGAACAUUUUAUCCUAGUGCAGAGGCUAGGGACCCCAUAUGGGAAGUGAAGACCCCGUGGAGCUUUACUGCAGCCUGUCGUUGUGUUACGGUAUUCCUUGCGCAGAGUAGAUGGGAGACUUUGAUCCUGCCCUUGUGGGGGCAGGUUAGUCGUAAUCUGAGACACCAUCCUUGGUUUACUGUAACACUAACUCGUUUACGAGGACAUCGGUAGGUAGGCAGUUUGGGUGGGGCGCCACACCCUCGAAAAGGUAUCAAGGGUGCCCCAAGGUCAACUCAUGUGAGUCAGAAACUCACAGAAGAGUGUCAAGAGCAAAAGUUGGCCUGACGCUGAUACGAAUAGCAAGUAUCUGCGAGAGGAAACUCGGGUCUAACGAACCAAUACGCGCUUUUGAUGAGUGCUAUUGACGACAGAAAAGCUACCCCGGGGAUAACAGAGUCGUCGCCGGCAAGAGCACAUAUCGACCCGGCGGCUUGCUACCUCGAUGUCGGUUCUUUCCAUCCUGGCUGUGCAGCAGCAGCCAAGGGUGAGGUUGUUCGCCUAUUAAUGGGGAUCGUGAGCUGGGUUUAGACCGUCGUGAGACAGGUCGGUUACUAUCUAUAUGGGGUGUCGGGAGUCUGAAGGUAAGAUGGAAAUAGUACGAGAGGAACUUUCCGUCGUCGCCACUGGUAGACCGGUUGUCCGACAGGGCAAUGCCGGGUGGCUACGCGAUAAGGGAUAAAAGCUGAAAGCAUCUAAGCUUGAAACCUGACCUGAAAAGAGACUCCGUCACAGGACGCGGGUAGAAGACCCGUUUGAUAGACCUGGGAUGUACGCACGAAGGCAACGACGUGUUCAGUCCACAGGUACUAAAGUCCGAUAAUUCGGCAAC
rnacentral:rRNA from 1 species